GUCAACGAUCUUUAUAAAGUUGUUUGAAGCGUCUAUGAUAAACAGAGAGCAAAUUAGAAUGCUGGGAAGUUGACAUGUCGUCACUUCAUUUUUUUGCGCCUGCGCAUAAAUCUGAGAAGCGUGAGUUUGUCAUAAUUGUUUAUCUAGACAUAGGAUAGGUUGUGUGAAAAUAUUACUGAUGUUUAACGUUAAAAAUGGACCAAAAGAUUAAUGCUAAACAACGUUUGACAUGUUUGAACGAACGUAAAUAGAUUAUUUACUAGGUUUUUUAGCUUUUCGGCGUGAUUUUACACCCCCCCCCACCACGUUUUGUGGGAGCAUAAUGAACGCUAACUACUUGGUGUUAUUUGGACAUAAAUUAUGAACUUUGUCAAAAGAAACCACAUUUGUUCUGGACCUGGGAUUCCUGGCAGUGCCUUCUGAUGGAGAUAAUCAAAGGAGUGUCAUCUGAUGGAGAUUGUCAAAGUUCAUCUGGGCUUUUCCAUGGCUCACUGAGCCGCUCCAGGACCUAUACCAUGUGUCUGAGCAGAGAGGAGACAAAGACAUCCCAGCACACUAACAAUGG
rnacentral:lncRNA from 1 species